rnacentral:rRNA from 1 species
UAGGGAAUCUUCCGCAAUGGACGCAAGUCUGACGGAGCAACGCCGCGUGAGUGAAGAAGGAUUUCGGUUCGUAAAACUCUGUUGUUAGAGAAGAACAGCGCAUAGAGUAACUGUUAUGCGUGUGACGGUAUCUAACCAGAAAGCCACGGCUAACUGCGUGCCAGCAGCCGCGGUAAUACGUAGGUGGCAAGCGUUGUCCGGAUUUAUUGGGCGUAAAGCGAGCGCAGGCGGUCAAUUAAGUCUGAUGUGAAAGCCCCCGGCUCAACCCGGGAGGGUCAUUGGAAACUGGUUGACUUGAGUGCAGAAGAGGAGAGUGGAAUUCCAUGUGUAGCGGUGAAAUGCGUAGAUAUAUGGAGGAACACCAGUGGCGAAGGCGACUCUCUGGUCUGUAACUGACGCUGAGGCUCGAAAGCGUGGGUAGCAAACAGG